rnacentral:rRNA from 1 species
UUACUUUUAAUUAUUUGUUUUUUUUUAGUAUUUUAGUAUUUAAUGAAAUUAUUUUAUUUUUUUUUACUGACUAGGAUUAUUUUAUAUAUAUUUAAAUAAUUUUUAGUACCUUUUGUAUCAGGGUUAAUUUAAUGAUAAACUUAUAAUUAUUUUCCCGAAUUUAAAAAAUUUAGUUUAUUAUUAUUUUGAAUGUUUCAUAAUUUUAUUAAAUAUUAAAUUGAUAGUUAUAAGUUAUUUGUUUUUUUAUAUAUCUGGUUAGUUUGGAUUUAAAUUUAAUUUAUGAAUUAAUUAUUAUUUUUAUUUUUAUUUUUAGUUCUUAUUUUAUUUGGGAAAAUCUAAAUAUUUUUUUAAAAUUUUUAAAAUUAAUUUAUUUUAUUAUUUUUAAUAUCAUUUAUUAAGUUCUUUAUAGAUUUAAUUUUUUGUUUAUUAUUUUUUUUUAUUUAAUAUUUUACUAAUUUUUAUUAUUUAAUUUUUUUUAUUAUUAAUAAUGAUUAAAUUAGUAUGAUUUAUAAUUUUUAAUUUAUGAAUUCGACAAAUAUUUAUUUUUAACUGUUUAUCAAAAACAUUUCUUUUAGUUAUUAUUAAAGGUAAAUUCUGCCCUAUGAUUAUUAUUUAAAUGGCUGCGGUAUUUUGACUGUGCAAAGGUAGCAUAAUAAUUUGUUACUUAAUUAGUAACUUGAAUGAAUGAAUAAAUAAAAGAUUAUUUUUAUUAUUAAUAUUUUUAAAAUUUUAUUUUUUAGUAAAAAAGCUAAAUUUUUUUCUUGGGACGAGAAGACCCUAAAGAACUUUAAUUUUUUAUUUAUAAAUUAGUUUUUUAUAGAUUUACAUAUAUACUAAUUUAUUUAUUAAUAAUUUUUGUUGGGGUGAUAAUUAAAUUUAUUCUUUAAUUAGUUUAUUCAUUAAUUUUUGUUUAUAUUGAUCCUAAAUUUUUGAUUAAAAGUUAAGUUACCUUAGGGAUAACAGCGUAAUUUUUAUGGAGAGUUCAUAUCUAUAUAAUAGUUUGCGACCUCGAUGUUGAAUUAGGAUAAAUUUAUUAGGUAGUUUUUUUAAAAUUAAGUCUGUUCGACUUUUAAAUUCCUACAUGAUUUGAGUUCAGACCGGUGUAAGCCAGGUUGGUUUCUAUCUGAGAUUAUUUAUUUUCUUUUAGUACGAAAGGACCAUUGAAAUCAAUUUUUAUUGUU